rnacentral:rRNA from 1 species
AUUGAACGCUGGCGGCAUGCCUUACACAUGCAAGUCGAACGGUAACGCGGGGGCAACCCUGGCGACGAGUGGCGAACGGGUGAGUAAUACAUCGGAACGUACCCAGUAGUGGGGGAUAGCUCGGCGAAAGCCGGAUUAAUACCGCAUACGACCUAUGGGUGAAAGCGGGGGAUCGCAAGACCUCGCGCUAUUGGAGCGGCCGAUGUCGGAUUAGCUAGUUGGUGAGGUAAAGGCUCACCAAGGCUACGAUCCGUAGCUGGUCUGAGAGGACGACCAGCCACACUGGGACUGAGACACGGCCCAGACUCCUACGGGAGGCAGCAGUGGGGAAUUUUGGACAAUGGGCGAAAGCCUGAUCCAGCCAUGCC